GAACUAAUUACGGAGAGGAUAUGUCUCAAUUUGUUCCGCAUUAGUGCCGCGCCGGGACGCAGGCACCGAGCACGGGAAAUUGAUGGGCCCGGGCCCGCCGGGACGGCGGCCCUGACCCCGCGUUC
ensembl:misc_RNA